AGUGAACGCUGGCGGUAGGCCUAACACAUGCAAGUCGAACGGCGGCACAGUAAGAGCUUGCUCUUACGGGUGUCGAGUGGCGGACGGGUGAGGAAUACAUCGGAAUCUACUUUUUCGUGGGGGAUAACGUAGGGAAACUUACGCUAAUACCGCAUACGACCUACGGGUGAAAGCAGGGGAUCUUCGGACCUUGCGCGAUUGAAUGAGCCGAUGUCGGAUUAGCUAGUUGGCGGGGUAAAGGCCCACCAAGGCGACGAUCCGUAGCUGGUCUGAGAGGAUGAUCAGCCACACUGGAACUGAGACACGGUCCAGACUCCUACGGGAGGCAGCAGUGGGGAAUAUUGGACAAUGGGCGCAAGCCUGAUCCAGCCAUACCGCGUGGGUGAAGAAGGCCUUCGGGUUGUAAAGCCCUUUUGUUGGGAAAGAAAAGCAGCAGGUUAAUACCCCGCUGUUCCGACGGUACCCAAAGAAUAAGCACCGGCUAACUUCGUG
rnacentral:rRNA from 1 species